rnacentral:lncRNA from 1 species
GGUGUUAUCUAUUCAUUAAGUGUUAAUUAUUAUUAUUAUUACAGAGUUCCAGUACUCAUGAUGUCCCAGUCACUGGUGGAGUAACAGAUGAAGUGUUUGAUGACAGUGGAGUGAGUAGAUACAGUGGUAGCAGCACUGGAUGAGGAGGGAAUACUAGCUAGCAGCUGUCAUUCAAGAGAUGAGUCAACACCUUUCUGGCUAACACACCUAAUUAGAAUAUUAUAGUCGGUGCUUCUGUUGAAGUCCCAGAGUGUCCUCCUCAACCGAACUGCACAAAAGGAAAGGCCAUGACUAGUGGGUGGGUCAUUGAACCUUAGCGCUAUGAAGAAAAAUUACUCACACAAGUCACUUAUUUUGUGCAGGUUGAUGUGGGAGGAGUACCAGCAACACUGGUUAAUAUUGUGUCAAGACAUCAGCCAUUAGCAGUUGCAUAUUUACAUGAUUAUUUAGAAAAAAACUAGUUUAAGUACAAAUAGAAAUGGAAGAGAGAGUAGACCCAGUUUAUUAUCAGGUACUGAUUCACCUAGUGAUCUAACUAUGAUGUAUAAAACAUAAUGUAUUAUAGUGUACACU